rnacentral:rRNA from 1 species
GAUGAACGCUGGCGGCGUGCUUAACACAUGCAAGUCGAACGAAGCACUUUGGACAGAUUCUUCGGAUGAAGUCCUUAGUGACUGAGUGGCGGACGGGUGAGUAACGCGUGGGUAACCUGCCUCAUACAGGGGGAUAACAGUUAGAAAUGGCUGCUAAUACCGCAUAAGCGCACGGUACUGCAUGGUACAGUGUGAAAAACUCCGGUGGUAUGAGAUGGACCCGCGUUGGAUUAGCUAGUUGGCAGGGUAACGGCCUACCAAGGCGACGAUCCAUAGCCGGCCUGAGAGGGUGGACGGCCACAUUGGGACUGAGACACGGCCCAGACUCCUACGGGAGGCAGCAGUGGGGAAUAUUGCACAAUGGGGGAAACCCUGAUGCAGCGACGCCGCGUGAGCGAAGAAGUAUUUCGGUAUGUAAAGCUCUAUCAGCAGGGAAGAAAAUGACGGUAC